CGUCGGAGCUUGACGUGGUCAAAUGUUAGGGCUCAGCUGGCUGCAGGGUCCCCGCCUAGACUCUCCUUCAUAUGUCGUCUCUGUUGUCUGCAACCGAUCUAUCUGACUAACUUGCUUGCCGCUGUCCAUCUCCGCUUCGUCGUGAACCAUGAGGGCUAAGUGGAAGAAAAAACGUAUGAGGCGCCUGAAACGCAAGCGCCGAAAAAUGAGGCAGAGAUCGAAGUAGAACCUGAAUUGUGGCCGCUGUCUUAUGGGCAGAAAAGAAUGUCAAAUGUUCGCAUCUGAUAGGCUGUUGGAUUAUUUCUUAGGAAGGUUACUGAAUUAUUUAAAUUCUCGGAGCUCAUAUGUUCUAGCUAUAUUGCCCAGAGGUUAGAACAGUAUCUUGGACCAGGCGAGUUCCAGACUUACAAGCCUGCCAUACCUGACGAUGAGAUGUGACUUAUUUGACUUCGGAAGAAAAGAGGGUUCACUUGGACAUCCCUAUAUUUGCUUUGGCCAA